GGCAGUAUAGUUCAGUGGUAGAGCACUUGCCUGCUAUGCAUGAGCCCCUAGGUUUGAAACUCAGCACUGCAA
rfam:Heterocephalus glaber contig103239, whole genome shotgun sequence.